rnacentral:rRNA from 1 species
AUUGAACGCUGGCGGCAGGCCUAACACAUGCAAGUCGAGCGGAUGAAGGGAGCUUGCUCCUGGAUUCAGCGGCGGACGGGUGAGUAAUACCUAGGAAUCUGCCUGGUAGUGGGGGAUAACGUCCGGAAACGGGCGCUAAUACCGCAUACGUCCUGAGGGAGAAAGCGGGGGAUCUUCGGACCUCACGCUAUCAGAUGAGCCUAGGUCGGAUUAGCUAGUUGGUGGGGUAAAGGCCUACCAAGGCGACGAUCCGUAACUGGUCUGAGAGGAUGAUCAGUCACACUGGAACUGAGACACGGUCCAGACUCCUACGGGAGGCAGCAGUGGGGAAUAUUGGACAAUGGGCGAAAGCCUGAUCCAGCCAUGCCGCGUGUGUGAAGAAGGUCUUCGGAUUGUAAAGCACUUUAAGUUGGGAGGAAGGGCAGUAAGUUAAUACCUUGCUGUUUUGACGUUACCAACAGAAUAAGCGCCGGCUAACUUCGUG